AGUGAACGCUGGCGGUAGGCCUAACACAUGCAAGUCGAACGGCAGCACAGUAAGAGCUUGCUCUUACGGGUGGCGAGUGGCGGACGGGUGAGGAAUACAUCGGAAUCUACUUUUUCGUGGGGGAUAACGUAGGGAAACUUACGCUAAUACCGCAUACGACCUACGGGUGAAAGCAGGGGAUCUUCGGACCUUGCGCGAUUGAAUGAGCCGAUGUCGGAUUAGCUAGUUGGCGGGGUAAAGGCCCACCAAGGCGACGAUCCGUAGCUGGUCUGAGAGGAUGAUCAGCCACACUGAAACUGAGACACGGUCCAGACUCCUACGGGAGGCAGCAGUGGGGAAUAUUGGACAAUGGGCGAAAGCCUGAUCCAGCCAUACCGCGUGGGUGAAGAAGGCCUUCGGGUUGUAAAGCCCUUUUGUUGGGAAAGAAAAGCAGCAGGUUAAUACCCCGCUGUUCUGACGGUACCCAAAGAAUAAGCACCGGCUAACUUCGUG
rnacentral:rRNA from 1 species